rnacentral:tRNA from 1 species
GGACCUUUAGCUCAGUUGGUCAGAGCAGACGGCUCAUAACCGUCCGAUCGUAGGUUUAAAUCCUACAAGGUCCAUCA